AACCUCCGCAAUGUGAGAAAUCGCGACGGGGGGAUCCCAAGUGCCAUUCUUAACGGGAUGGCUUUUCAUUAGUGUAAAGAGCUUUUGGAAUAAGGGCUGGGCAAGACCGGUGCCAGCCGCCGCGGUAACACCGGCAGCUCUAGUGGUAGCAGUUUUUAUUGGGCCUAAAGCGUCCGUAGCCGGUUUAAUAAGUCUCUGGUGAAAUCCUGUAGCUUAACUGUGGGAAUUGCUGGAGAUACUAUUAGACUUGAGACCGGGAGAGGUUAGAGGUACUCCCAGGGUAGAGGUGAAAUUCUGUAAUCCUGGGAGGACCGCCUGUUGCGAAGGCGUCUAACUGGAACGGUUCUGACGGUGAGGGACGAAAGUUAGGGGCGCGAACCGGAUUAGAUACCCGGGUAGUCCUAACUGUAAACGAUGCGGACUUGGUGUUGGGGUGGCUUUGAGCUGCUCCAGUGCCGAAGGGAAGCUGUAAGUCGCCGCCUGGGAAGUACGGUCGCAAGACUGAACUUAAAGGAGUU
rnacentral:rRNA from 1 species